rnacentral:lncRNA from 1 species
ACAUCUGCCACUGAGGUACACUUUUUUUCAAAUCUACCCUUAAGUUCAGCCCAUUUUUUUAUAUAUAUUGCAGCUGUAUUUUAAAUUAUAUAAUUUAAGCAUGCUUGCAUCCCAUUUUGCACUUGUUUUCUUAAGAGGAAAAGAUGAACUUUCCAUGUCCUGUAAAAGACAUUUUUUGCAGUGCAGGACAAUUAGCCAGCGACAUGUCUUAAAUGCCCCUGUGUGCAAGAAUGAGAAAAGUAGCUGAUAGUUUGUUGUGAAAGUCACUGCUCCUUCAGCCCUGCAGUCUGUAUGUGUGUGUGUGUGUGUGUGUGUGUGUGGUUCAACAGUCUUAAUUCAUUUAUGAUGACGUUAAUUUUGCCAAAGCCCUUAUUUGAGACAUUAAUGCCUGAACAGUCUUACGCCACAGUUUCUAUGCUACUUGUGUUUUCUUGUCACACACGUGUGAGAAUGCCAUACAAUGUACACCUGUCAGACCUGCUCUAGGUAGUGUUCACAAAUUCAUCUUUAUUGUUUCAGGUUGAUGACAUUUGCCACAAAUAUACAUUUUAAAGUGAAUCUGGAUUCUUAACUGGACAGAAAUCAAUGUGCUGUUACAGUGAAUUCCUCCCAUUUGAGCAAAUCAUUUGUAACUCGUGCCUGUAGAGAUCUAGACCUCCAGCUGCCUGGAUGUUGGUGCUCAAUAAAAACGGAAAGGAAAUACAUCAACAUUUCAAAUGAAAAUAAGUGAGUGAAAGCUACCUCCUCAGCCAGAAGACUAAAGGUCCGUCAUUAAAGCAGUAAUCUAAAAUUGGGAUGAACAAUUAUGGACAUUAUCAAGAAUUUGAUUCAGGUGUCCUCAUUUGCUCUGUGUCUCAUGUGUAAGGAUUUGAAUGUUAUCAAGACAUCUAUUUUGUUUUUGUAUUAUAGUGUCUGUUCAUUAAAAGCCAUACUUCCACUGCUAAUUUCAAUCAAACUAAAAUAAGCCAUGGUGUAUUUCAUCAUUUGUAAGUUAAGGAAGCAGGAGGAUGUUUUUUUUUUUUUUUUUUUUUCAUAUUUCAUUUUGUCACAAUGUUGUUCGUAUCAUUGUUGUUAAAUAAUUUUGUUGCAUUAUCUAGAUGUAGAGUACAUUACAAUUAUCUGUGUUUGUCUUCCAUGUGAUGGAUUUUAAGAUGGAACAGAGUUGCUUAAUGAAGGCUAAAGGGAUGUUAGAAAAAUCUCUUUUCCUCUCUCCUUCCUCCUGCAGCCACUUCUCCUGCCUCAGUCAGGUUUUCUGUCCUCUCUCUCAUUCCCCUCCCCCCACCUUGUUUUGAUUGUGCUUUUAAUAUUCUGUAUGUUUGCCCCCUUUUUUUUUUUCUUUCCCUCACUUUUUCUUUUUUUUUUAAAUGAGCCACCUAUUUAUUUUAUCUCAAACAUGGGUCUGGAGACCACUCUGCUGUUAGUGUCUACAUGUGAGAGUGCCUGCGAGUGUGUGUGUAAAAGAAAAAUGUGAUGUUUUAAAGCUAAGGGAAGUUUUUUUUAUAGUACAUAUAUAAAUACCUGUACAGGAAGGAGUAAAUAGAGGGUUUGGUUAAAAGAAGUAUGAUCCGAAGCACUCGUCCAACAACAGUAAUAACAUUUAUCAUGGCUUGUCUGCGUUCAGGCUUACAGUGGUGGUCAUCAUUCAUACACAUUAUCAGCAGUGUGGAGGGGAAAGAGUACAGAGGAAACUACUGUAAAGAUGAUAAUGUUCAUUUUUUUUAUUUUAAACUUUGAAGUGUAAAAUAACUUUUUGACUCUCACUAUAUUUAAUUAAAGUUCUCUCUUCUCUGUGAAAAGGUGUCAGUUUUUGGUUUUGUUGCUCAUCACUGUCACUCAAACUGCAGUAUAAUGCAAAGAGCCACACAUGCGAGGAAAAGACGCAAGUGAGGAUGCAAUUAAGGGAACUGAGAUGCACCGGUGCAGUUUUCAGUGGGGAACUUCUGAGCCUCUCUGGAGGAGUCUGGAGGAGGGAGUCGGGUCGUCACAAAGACUCAGCUCACUUGUGUUAACUGCCUGAAUCCUCUAGAUAUUUGGUUUGUCCUCAGUUUAAUUUCUCUUUCAACCUGUUUUAGUUUACAUCUUGUUUAUGAUGUCUGCUCUUUGUCCCACCUUGAGUUUGAUGGUGACACUCACAUUUUAGACAGCCAAACACUAUCCAUUUGGACCUGAUUUCAAUGUUUAUCCUAAAUGAACCUGCUGAGGGUGAUAAAGCUGGAGAGAGGCAAGAAGUUCAUGAAGCGGUAAUGAAAGAGGGUUCAGCAUUGAAUGAACAGUGAGUCAAUAAAAAGUGAGUGCCUUUAUCACCAAAGAACACUGAAUUUAUGCUCUUCAUUGUCAGGAAAUAAAACCUGGAGGACAAAAACUGAAAGAUCAUAUGAAUUUAAUACCUUCAUGCAGUAAUAAAUUUGCCUUUUUGGCAGCAGA